rnacentral:rRNA from 1 species
GACGAACGCUGGCGGCGUGCCUAAUACAUGCAAGUCGAACGCUGAAGGAGGAGCUUGCUUCUCUGGAUGAGUUGCGAACGGGUGAGUAACGCGUAGGUAACCUGCCUGGUAGCGGGGGAUAACUAUUGGAAACGAUAGCUAAUACCGCAUAAGAGUAGAUGCUGCAUGACAUUUGCUUAAAAGGUGCAAUUGCAUCACUACCAGAUGGACCUGCGUUGUAUUAGCUAGUUGGUGGGGUAACGGCUUACCAAGGCGACGAUACAUAGCCGACCUGAGAGGGUGAUCGGCCACACUGGGACUGAGACACGGCCCAGACUCCUACGGGAGGCAGCAGUAGGGAAUCUUCGGCAAUGGACGGAAGUCUGACCGAGCAACGCCGCGUGAGUGAAGAAGGUUUUCGGAUCGUAAAGCUCUGUUGUAAGAGAAGAACGAGUGUGAGAGUGGAAAGUUCACACUGUGACGGUAGCUUACCAGAAAGGGACGGCUAACUACGUG